AACGAACGCUGGCGGCAUGCCUAACACAUGCAAGUCGAGCGGUAAGGCCCUUUCGGGGGUACACGAGCGGCGAACGGGUGAGUAACACGUGGGUGACCUGCCCUUAGCUCUGGGAUAAGCCUGGGAAACUGGGUCUAAUACCGGAUAUGACUCCAUGACGCAUGUUGUGGGGUGGAAAGCCUUGUGCGGCUGGGGAUGGGCCCGCGGCCUAUCAGCUUGUUGGUGGGGUGAUGGCCUACCAAGGCGA
rnacentral:rRNA from 1 species